GUCCUGGUGGCCUAAUGGAUAAGGUGCCAGUUUCCAAAACCAAAGAGUGUGGGUUAGAGUCCCAACCAGAGUG
rnacentral:tRNA from 1 species